GAGAAAGAGAGAGGACCCAACUGACAGCCGAGAAGCAUCAAGAGUUGAUGGAUGACGAGUCACUUGACAUGAACGUAAUUGCUACUCAAGUAGGGCGGACAAAAUGCCACUCUGGGAAACAGCUCAGGGACGUAUCCCUUUACGCCAUCCAGAGAGAUUGCUUGCGCUGGUCAAGCACAAAUAUGUCAAGAACACACUUUGUUUUUCUCUAUCGGAUGAUCCAUGACACGAAGACACCAUGAAGUGAGCGAGUGACAGUGUAAGAUGCUGGGACCCGAUGCUCUACACAAGACAAGUAAACAGCGUUGCUGAACAUUUCUGCCCCAGCUCCGAUCUAAUCGAAUGUUUUAUUACUUUUGCGUGAACCUCUUUGAAGUUCUGAUAGAGUUCAGGCAGGGUUGGCCCCUGACUGCGUGCUCCGGGCUGUGGGAAUGCUGCUGGGUUCUUUCCAUUCUGCAUGGAGCUAUCUGAGAUAGAUUCAUCUCAUUUCAGUAACAGGGGAGCGCGGCUAACAUGAGCCGAACACUGAUUGAAACCUCGGCCCUGGUUUCACUCGGUUUUCAACGUAAUGGAUGGGACUGACCCGAAUGUCUACACUCUCAGCUCAUGGUGGGAGUUUAAGCUGUUUCUCGUCUGGAGAAACAAAUAAUAUAGUGGCCCUUUGUAAUAGUCUGUGACUUCAGAAGAACCACUGGUUAGGAAGGGAUAGAGAGAGAGAGAGAGAGAGAGGUGUUAGUUGAACGGAGACAGCUCUGAGCUAGGACACGUUGUUUUAAAUGGUACAAUUUCUGAGGUCCCAAUUCCUGUGUCUGUCUCUCCCCAUGUUAUUGGCAGACGGGACCUUGGUUUAACAUUCUCCCCAACAGCCAGCGCCUCCGAUAAUUCAGUGUGUCAGAUUAGACCGCGUGAGUUCAAGGGAUGUUGAAGACGAUGUGGGUUCAUGGAUUUGAGCAACAUGGGGAGAGACACUUCAGAAAUUGUACCAUUUAAAUAAAACAACCUAUCAAAUGGGGUUUUACUCUCUG